ACUAAACAAGAAUAUAUUAGACUAUUCAGCGUUACUAAGUGAUGCAGCAGUCCCACAUGAAGACAAACGAGAUGCAACUAGCACAGCAACUCAAAAGAUGCCAGGGAAAACUGAACAAUUGAAGAUUGUAGAAGGGCACGCAGCUAUCAAAGUGGUCGACAACUAACGGCAAUAAUCGUUAACAGGAAACCAAAGGAAAAGGACAGUUCUCAGUAGGACAUAGAGAUGGUGGUCAAAAUAACAAGAUAAAAAGAAAUAAAUAAAGUUCUGUGCUGUAGUCCAUAGAUGUGAAAAUGCAUAAAGGACCCCCAAAUGGUAUUGACAGUUAUCAACGAUGGACACAAGAGUUAAUUGGUUCUACAGCAAGGAUGAAGCAUUAAGUAUUAGGAGCUUCAAACACUGCCUAUGUGAGGUGCACAAAAAUCAAAACAUCUGCCUUCCCAAAUAUUAAAAAUUUUUAGAUGAAAGGAUUCAUGGAGCCAAGUGCCAGCAAUGGUUGAUGGACCAUAAUCUCAAAAAUACGGAGUAAAGUCUAUGGUUAAUCAAUUAUGUAUACACAGGAGUAUACAUAAAGUGAGAAGUAAGCGACAGAUGCACUAGAUCAUGUCACAUUAUAAACACUUGCCACACAAACCUUAGCAAUCAUCAGUACCAUAUGUGGAUUAUGUAUGUUUGUGAUAACCAAUGUAUUCAUUCUUCAUUCUUAGCUAUUUCCAUUUCUUCCUGUGCUCAGUACUAUUUGUGCAGAGCAAACAUGAGCAACUCCACUUUUAACAUGUUUAUGUGACAACAGAUGUAUGUAGGCCUGGUCCUUUCUUGUAUUCAUUUCUAUAUUGCAUGCCUAGAGAAGGUAAUUUGUUUUCCUCUUUUCUUUGUCAUAAUGCAUACUAUAUUUUUAUGACAAAGUUGUUUACUGAGUUUGACUUGUUUUAGGCUAGAUUCAUUUCUAUUUAUUUAUGGGACACCACACAAAGUUUACAAGCAUUUGAUGGAGGCAAAUUAUUUCCUGUGAUGUUUUGUAUGCUCCUUAUCUCAUGUGCCUAACGCCACCUAGUAUAAGUAAG